rnacentral:lncRNA from 1 species
AAACCCGGAUAAACUUACAGCUUGCAGAGAUGGAUGGACAAUUUUCGGAAGAGUAUGUUACAAACUGUUCGAAGAAUAUAAACUACACCAGCCUGCUCUUCAGUUCUGUCAAGAUCAGCGUGAAGGGUGCUCACUUCUCCGGCCAAAUAAGUUCAACGAAGGCUUUAUAAAAGAAUUUCUACAAAGGAAGGGUGACUGCAGGGAGGUGUGGACAGAUUUGACAUUUGAAUACACUUCGAGCGACGGGGAAGUGCCUGACUGGACAAAUUGGGCAGAACCAAAAAAGCCGACAGGGUGCGUUAGUAUAAAUUCAAAGUGCCUUUGGAGAGACGAAGGAUGUAGGCAAAAGAACAAGUUUGUCUGUCAGUACGACCGUUCAGUGCCUACUGAGUGCAGUGACCAGAGGGAUGACUGUGGGACACUAGUAAAUAAAUAUUCCACAUUCUGUGCUGAUAAGAAGAGUUCAUUCGCUAUAACAAAUUGUGCAAAGACAUGUGGAUAUUGCAAGUAGUAAAGGACCAUAUCACCAGCUUCCAUAUCACCAGUCUUUACUACUUUUUCUAUUUUGUUAUCGUUUUCUUGUCAUUUUCGUUCAAGUUUUAGUUGUUCAAUUCAAAUUUAGAAUGAUAUUUUAGAAUAUAGGUAUAUGUUACGUCGAAACCGUUUGAACCGUUUUAUAAAAUGCUGCCAGUUGAAGAACAUUUAUACGGAGCUUAUUCUUGAAAUGUCAGUCAGUUCUAGCCCAUAAAGUAAUAUAUGUCCCCGAUCGGUGGCUGUAAGUUUGUUCGAAUGGUAGAAUAACCUUUAAUUAGGUAAAAAACGAAACUAUUUUACAAAAUUAUUGCACAAACAUGGCAAAGGGAUAUUAUUUACAAUAUUUCGGUAAAAGAUGUGCAGUGUAAACCUGAAAACUUUAAAAAUGGUAGAACUAUAGACUAGUACUUCGGGACAAAUAUAAACGCAUAUUGAAAUAUAUAGAUUUCACUUGAUAUAUUUUAUUCACACUUAACAGAUAAUCUUAUUUUGUACUUAUAUGCACGUUCAUAGUACCAAGUAGUGAUUCUUUCAUGAAAACUACCAUGUUUAGGAUAUGACUAACAGUAAGUCUGUUCAGUUCUUAAUUCAAAAACUAUAUUUUGAAAGUACAAAAUCAAUACAUUCAUCGGUUUUAAAUACUACAUGUAGAAAUAAUUAUUUUUUUAUCGUUAUUAAAGUCGCAAAGUAUAAGUUUUUAUUGAUUUAUUUUUUUUUAAAUUCUAAAUCAUGACUGU